UGGUGGGUAGUUUGACUGGGGCGGUCUCCUCCUAAAGAGUAACGGAGGAGCACGAAGGUUGGCUAAUCCUGGUCGGACAUCAGGAGGUUAGUGCAAUGGCAUAAGCCAGCUUGACUGCGAGCGUGACGGCGCGAGCAGGUGCGAAAGCAGGUCAUAGUGAUCCGGUGGUUCUGAAUGGAAGGGCCAUCGCUCAACGGAUAAAAGGUACUCCGGGGAUAACAGGCUGAUACCGCCCAAGAGUUCAUAUCGACGGCGGUGUUUGGCACCUCGAUGUCGGCUCAUCACAUCCUGGGGCUGAAGUAGGUCCCAAGGGUAUGGCUGUUCGCCAUUUAAAGUGGUACGCGAGCUGGGUUUAGAACGUCGUGAGACAGUUCGGUCCCUAUCUGCCGUGGGCGCUGGAGAACUGAGGGGGGCUGCUCCUAGUACGAGAGGACCGGAGUGGACGCAUCACUGGUGUUCGGGUUGUCAUGCCAAUGGCACUGCCCGGUAGCUAAAUGCGGAAGAGAUAAGUGCUGAAAGCAUCUAAGCACGAAACUUGCCCCGAGAUGAGUUCUCCCUGACCCUUUAAGGGUCCUGAAGGAACGUUGAAGACGACGACGUUGAUAGGCCGGGUGUGUAAGCGCAGCGAUGCGUUGAGCUAACCGGUACUAAUG
rnacentral:rRNA from 1 species